rnacentral:rRNA from 1 species
UACGUAGGGUGCGAGCGUUAAUCGGAUUUACUGGGCGUAAAGCGUGCGCAGGCGGUCUCUUAAGUCUGAUGUGAAAGCCCACGGCUCAACCGUGGAGGGUCAUUGGAAACUGGGGGACUUGAGGGCAGGAGAGGAGAGCGGAAUUCCACGUGUAGCGGUGAAAUGCGUAGAGAUGUGGAGGAACACCAGUGGCGAAGGCGGCUCUCUGGCCUGUACCUGACGCUGAGGCGCGAAAGCGUGGGGAGCAAACAGG